rnacentral:rRNA from 1 species
GACGAACGCUGGCGGCGUGCUUAACACAUGCAAGUCGAACGGAAAGGCCCUGCUUUUGUGGGGUGCUCGAGUGGCGAACGGGUGAGUAACACGUGAGUAACCUGCCCUUCACUUUGGGAUAACUUCAGGAAACUGGGGCUAAUCCCGGAUCGGAGAUCCUGCUGCAUGGUGGGGGUUGGAAAGUUUCGGCGGUUGGGGAUGGACUCGCGGCUUAUCAGCUUGUUGGUGGGGUAGUGGCUUACCAAGGCUUUGACGGGUAGCCGGCCUGAGAGGGGGACCGGCCACAUUGGGACUGAGAGACGGCCCAGACUCCUACGGGAGGCAGCAGUGGGGAAUAUUGCACAAUGGGCGGAAGCCUGAUGCAGCAACGCCGCGUGCGUGAUGACGGCCUUCGGGUUGUAAACCGCUUUCGCCUGUGACGAAGCGUGAGUGACGGUAAUGGGUAAAGAAGCACCGGCUAACUACGUG